rnacentral:rRNA from 1 species
AUGGCGUCCUCGUCGUCGGACAAGCGGGGCGAGCUGCCGCCAUCGGAAUACAUCGCCGGCGAGCUGCCCCGCGACGCGCUCUAUGACAUCCUGCUGCGUCUCCCGGCGAAGGAUGUAUGCCGCCUCCGCGCCGUCAGUCCCUCGUGGCGCUCUCUCACCUUGGACCCGCUCUUCGUCAAGGCCCAUGCGGCCCGCCACCCGGGCCCGCUCCUCGCCACCACCUUCGCCGACGGCGACUCCUGUGGCGUCAGCAUCGUGGAUCUGCUCUCCGGCGACGUCAUCAAGCGGAUACGCACCUCCGACCCCGACCUGAGAGUGCAGCGCACGCGCCUCGACCGUGUCUGCCUCGUCGGAGGGCGCCACCCUCUGGGCGUGCCUGUCACCCUGCUCGACCCGGCCACAGAUGCUGUCAUCAGCUCGUCGCAUGACAUCUCCAUGAAGUAUGCGGGUUUGCUGAAGUCAAGAAAGGCAUACAUGGACUCAUGCAUUUUUGGGAAAGUCCCCUCCACAGGAGUCUACAAGGCAUUCCGGUUCCUUGAAGUUCGCCCUCUGCCUUGUCGGCAGCAGCUAUGCGAGGUCAUGACUAUCAACGGCCGCAGCGCUGGACGGUGGAGGGCAAGACCAGGACCUCCGGGCCGUGUCUUUCCGAAUCACACGAUGAAAAGCGCAGUCAUCGAUGGGGUCGUGUAUUUUUUGAUGGAUUUUUCGAACAUGCAUCACGAAUAUUCGAAGGGGACCAUCAAACCAGCCAGCAUAGCUGCAUUCAACCUGGAGACAGAAGAAUGGAUGCCGCCGAUUGAUGGUCCGGAACAAGUCAACAGCUUAUUUCUUCCUGUCUUCGAGGACCCCAGAGAUGUGGGGCUUCUCUCGAUAACCAAUUUGAAUGGGUCCUUAGUGGCGGCCCAGGUUCAUCAUCGUUUACCUCAAUCUAUGGACCUAUGGUUUCUGAUGGAUCUUGAGAAAGGUCUCUGGGUUAAAAAGUACAGCAUAGGUUAUUACCGACGUGAGGAUCUUUGUAGUUAUCCUUUGCUGGUGUUAGAUGACGAGAGGAUUGUCUUUGUGAUGCAAUUAACGGGGCUGCUACAGGUUUAUGAUCCAAAAACAGAAACUUACACAGAUUUGUGGCAGCUGGAAGAUUUCAAGUCUAUGUGUAUUUACACAGGAAAUCUGCUGAGUCAAUAG